rnacentral:rRNA from 1 species
UACGUAGGGGGCAAGCGUUGUCCGGAAUUAUUGGGCGUAAAGAGCGCGUAGGCGGUCCGAUAAGUCGGCUGUGAAAGUCAGGGGCUCAACCCUUGAAAGCCGGCCGAUACUGUCGGUCUAGAGUCCGGAAGAGGCAAGUGGAAUUCCCGGUGUAGCGGUGAAAUGCGCAGAUAUCGGGAGGAACACCAAUGGCGAAGGCAGCUUGCUGGGACGGUACUGACGCUGAGGCGCGAAAGCGUGGGGAGCAAACAGG